GGGCCUGUGGUCUAGUCGGCUAUGACGUCGCCUUCACACGGCGGAGGUCAGGGGUUCGAAUCCCUUCGGGCCCA
rnacentral:tRNA from 1 species